rnacentral:rRNA from 1 species
UGCAUUCAGUUGCCAUCGGUAAGGCCGGGCGACUCUGGAUGGACUGCCGGCGACAAGCCGGAGAGGUGGGGACGACGUCAAGUCAUCAUGGCCCUUAUGUCCAGGGCGACACACGUGCUACAAUGGCCGGCACAACGGGAAGCGAAGGGGCGACCCUGAGCGGAUCCCACAAAAGCCGGUCUCAGUUCGGAUUGCAGUCUGCAACUCGACUGCAUGAAGUUGGAAUCGCUAGUAAUCGUGGAUCAGCCAAGCCGCGGUGAAUACGUUCCCGGGCCUU